rnacentral:tRNA from 1 species
GGCUUCGUAGCUCAGCUAGUAGAGUGUGCGUGUACAAAGCUUAAGCGGCGUCCAUGCGUGGGUUCGAGUCCCACUGAGGCUA